AUUGAACGCUGGCGGCAUGCCUAACACAUGCAAGUCGAACGAGUGGCGGACGGGUGAGUAAUGUCUGGGAAACUGCCUGAUGGAGGGGGAUCACUACUGGAAACGGUAGCUAAUACCGCAUACCAUCGGAUGUGCCCAGCUGGGAUUCGCGAGUAGGUGGGGUAACGGCUCACCUAGGCGACGAUCCCUAGCUGGUCUGAGCGGAUGACGGGCCACACUGGAACUGAGACACGGUCCAGAUUCUUACGGGAGGCAGCAGGGGGGAAUAUUGCACAAUGGGCGAAAGCCGGCUGCAGCCAUGCCGCGUGUAUGAAGAAGGCCUUCGGGUUGUAAAGUACGUUCAGCGGGGAGGCGUUACCCGCAGAAGAAGCACCGGCUAACUACGUGCCAGCAGCCGCGGUAAUUC
rnacentral:rRNA from 1 species